UUGCUGCUUUGCUGACGAGUGGCGGACGGGUGAGUAAUGUCUGGGAAACUGCCCGAUGGAGGGGGAUAACUACUGGAAACGGUAGCUAAUACCGCAUAACGUCGCAAGACCAAAGAGGGGGACCUUCGGGCCUCUUGCCAUCGGAUGUGCCCAGAUGGGAUUAGCUAGUAGGUGGGGUAAAGGCUCACCUAGGCGACGAUCCCUAGCUGGUCUGAGAGGAUGACCAGCCACACUGGAACUGAGACACGGUCCAGACUCCUACGGGAGGCAGCAGUGGGGAAUAUUGCACAAUGGGCGCAAGCCUGAUGCAGCCAUGCCGCGUGUAUGAAGAAGGCCUUCGGGUUGUAAAGUAC
rnacentral:rRNA from 1 species